GGCAUCAUUGCAGUGAUGCUUUGGGAAUUGAAUUGCCCCCACCACAGAAUAGUGGGGUGUACGUGAGGAAUUUAUGGACUUAGAGAAGGGGCAGCUGUUUUGAACAUCAAUGGACAGCUUAAAGAAACAGAAUGACAAGUUAAAAUCCUUGAAUUCUAGGCUCAUAGCACAGACUGAAAUACAUGGAGUUUCUAGGAUCAAGAUAAAAGAAUCUCUUAUCUUUUGUUGCUGCAGGGACUGAGCUGGCAAAAAACAAAAUGUGGUAUUAGAGAUAGUAAAAUUAGACUAUCAGUUGAAUUCAGAGCUUUUCCUCGUCUCUUACGUAAAAAUUAGAGAAUUGGUAGGGAAAGAUAUUUUGGCACCCUGAACACUAACUCCCAUUGAUAGCCCAUUGACACUGAAGAAUACACUAUGAAAAUUCCUUGUACCUCUUCUUAAAGACACCCAUCGCGACUUACCAAGGUAAGGAUGCCCUGGGAAAAUGGAACUGCUAAGAUCUUUUGGAGAUGCUUAGACACAAGCAUUAAACACAUUAAUCUAUUUUGCCAAUUGGGAGGAUUUUCUCUCUGAAACCUACUGGAUGACUUGUGGAGCUCAUGGGCAAAAUAAUGCCACGAGAAGUCCAGUUUUCUCUUGUGCUUUGAUAAUAGUUUCAAAUUGCCUUAAAUAUCAACUUACCAGAAUUUACGGCAAAUGGCUGCCAGUUUGCCUAGAAACUAGAUAAGGGAUCUCAAAGGAACUGACGUGGGGGACUAAUGACAGAUUUUUUUUUUUUGGUGGGAGUGGGGCAUUGGGGAAGAGAAUCAUGGAAGAAUUUUUUAAAAUGGGCUCAGAACAUAAAGAAUAUUCAUGCUACAUAUUAAUGCAAAGGACAUUUCUAGCCAAACAGCUCAUACAUUUAGAUGGACAAGAUAACCUAAUCUCCCAAUGUAGGUCAUCUUCCUUCUAUAGCAACUUUAGAAUUUAAUGAACAAAGUGGCCAUGAUUGAAAAGAUAGUGGCUACUCACAAGCACAACAACACAGGUUUCCCCUUAGCAGUGUACCAAGAUAUUUUACCAAAAGUAGUAAAUACAAACCUACAAUACUAUAGGAUAACUGUUUGGACAAGUGUUUGUUUGAAGUCAGUUGAUGAUUGUUUUACUGCUUUUGUCGUGAAGGAUUCAUGUAGUGCCUCAAGUCAGCAUCGUUAUACCUUACACAACUGAAUGCUUAAUUCAAUGUCAUUAUAUUUCUCAUAAUUUCUUCCAAGCAAGGAACUCAAUUUCCUAUGAACAAAGCAGGAAAAUGGGGUAAUGCCCUUAGGUUACUUUAGUCUUAUAUACUUUAUUGAAGAAUAAGUUAGGUAUCAUGUCAUAGGAUACUACCUAUGAUUUGAAACAUUUGAAACAUAUAUAUUGCUAUUUAUUUCAGUCAGUACACAAUAGAAUUGAAAUUAGUACAUCUUCCAAUUAAACCUAAUUAGUUAUUCACAAUAUCUUUAUUCCUAUCUCUGAAAUAAUGGGAAUACUGGUUUAGAAACUAGUAAUAUUCAAGGGAGAAAUGUUACACCAGGGUAUUCAGUAAUGGUUGCAUGGGAGUAAACAUUGCCAGCUGGCCAAUUCAGAAUCUCAUGACCUGAGUCAGCAAACAAUCAGGUGGGUUAGUGUGUUGUAUAGGGUAAUUGAUAUUGAAAGUCAAGAGGAAAGAUAAUUGAUGAUACAUAAUACAUCAGGAAGGGUGGGUCCCCAGUUGGUCCCAUGGGGAAUUUUUAUGUGACCAUAUUUAUUUGUAAAAGACUGAGCUGUACAUAUAAAACUGGCAGGAGUUCAGAACCCCUAAGAAUGAAAGAUUUACAUAAAUCUACUUUUCCUUUCUUUCAGUCACUACUAUGGCAAGAUCAAGACUGGAUCUAGGAGAUCUCGGUUCAAUAUGGAGAUUAUCCAGAGAUUCUACUGUUGGAGCCAGAUGCUAUAACUGAAGAGGGUUAAAACUGUCUCCUUUUGGGACACCGAAACAUAGAAGCCUGCCCGGGAAGAGCAGGGUAGAACUUAUAUUCUCUUUGUUCAGCUUCCCAGAGGAAUAAGAAGGCCAGAGUGAAGCCAGGAUAGGAAGAAACAUGAAGCGAUGAAACAUACUGAACAAUUCCAUGUUUAUGGAAAAAAAUUCUGGUAAUGAACUUACUUCACACCAAAGAGACAAGGAGUAGCAUCAUUACCUCAAGCAAUAUUGCCAGAGAAAAUCUUGACACAGAGAAGACAAGCUCAGUGCUUAAUGUGAAAAUUUAUCUGCACAUACAGAACCAGUCCAUAAUACAGGUAGGUGUAUUCAGAGAAGGGCUGGGGGAUACAAAUGGUACACCAUCAAAAUUUGCUGUGAUCGUUUGAGAAGUGUCUGUUCAUGUCUUUUGCCCACUUUUUAGUGAGGUUAUUGGUUUUUUGCUUGUUGAAUUGUUUAAGUUUCUAAACACAUGAAAAAAAUGCUCAGCAUCACUAAUCAUCAGAGAAAUGCAAAUAAAAGCCAAAGUGAGAUAACAUCUCACACCACUGAGAGUGAUUAUUAUUAAAAAGUCAAAAAACAACAGGUGCUGGUGAGGCUACAGAGGAAAGGGAAUGCUUAUAUACUGUUAAUGGGAAUGUAAUUUAGUUUAGCACCUGUGGAAAUCAGUUUGGAGAUUUCUCAAAGAACAUAAAAGAGAAAUAUCAUUCUACCCAGCAAUUCCAUUACUGGUUAUAUAUACAAAAGAAAAUAAAUUCUUAUCAAAAGGACACAUGUACUUGUGUGUUUAUCUCAGCACUGUUCACCAUGGUGAAGACAUGGAAUCAACCAAGGUGAUUAUCAAAAGGGAAGAGGAAUGGAUUAAAAAAUAUAUGGUAGAUAUAGACCAUGGAAUCCUAUGCUGCCGUAAAAGAGAACAAAAUCAUGUCCUUUGAGGCAACAGCAUGGAUGCAGCUGGAAGCCGUUAUCCUAAGUGAAUUAACAGAGGAACAGUAAACCAAACACCACACGGUCUUACUUAAAAGUGGGAGCUAAACAUUGGGUACUCAUGGACAUAAAGAUGCCUCAAUAGAUUACGAGGACAAACAGGAUUAAAAAACAUGCGUACUAUCCUCACCAUGUGGGACACAGGAUCAUUUUUACCCCAAACCUCAACAUCAUGCAAUAUACCCAUGUAACAAGCCUGUACAUGUACCUCCUGAAUCUACAAAAAAAAUGACUUUUUUUUUAAGAAUUUGCUGCAAUCUUGGAAAAAUUCUUCUUCAAAGUCUUCUAAAAGCAUUUUAACUUUUUAUUUACAUUUGGAAAUUCAAGCCAUCUAAAAUGAAAUCUAGCAUAUGGUCUGACAUAGGUGCCAACAUUAUUUUUAUAUACAUAUCCAGUUAAGGUGGCAUUAUUUAUUGAGAAGAUGAAGCUUCCUCUAUGGCUCUACAGUUUCUCCUUUGUCAUAGAUUAGUUUUCUCCAUUUUUGUGGGUUUGUUUGUAAACCCUGUAUUCUGUUCCACUGGUCUAUUUAUCAAUCCUUGUUUCAAUCCACACUGUUUAUAGUAAAGUGUUAUAAGAUGAUUUUUAGCUAUUAGUAUAAAAUUGCUGAUUUGCAAUUAUUCGAGACUGACUUUAUUAUUUCCUGCUUUGCAUUUCUACAUAUCUUUUAGAAUCAGCUUGUCAUUUCCCAUCCCCUUCAAAAAACACUACCAUUUUUAUUGGGAUUAUGUUGCAUCUAUAUAUACGAGAGAAUUGUCUUCUAAUUCAUAAAUAUAGCAUAUCCCAAUUUAUUUUAUUUGUUCUAAUAUCUCUUAACAAUGGUUUAUUUUCUACUUGAAGUUUCCACAGCCUUCAUUAGAUCCAUGCCAUUAUAAAUGGUAUCAUUAAAAACAAACAAACAAAAAAUUUACUUUCCGUUUGUUGCUAGUAUAUGUAACUACAAUUUAUUUUUAUACUAGCUUCAUGUCCAGUCCAGUGAUCAUCUCAAUUAACUAAUCCCAAUAAUUUGAGGUAUAUAUUUUUUUGAAUUUUCUAUGAAAAAAAAUCAUGUCUGCACAUAAGUUGAUUUUUAUUUCUGCAAUAUAAUUAUUUGGCUUAUUGUACUGGCUAGGCUUUGCCAGAUAAUUAUUAAUGGGUCAUAGGAGAUAUCCUUAUCUCAUUACAGAAGUCAUACAUCUUUCAUUAUUUCAUCAUUAAAUCUGAUAAUUCUUUCCAUUUUUAAAAUAAAUGCCUUGUUUCAGACUAAGAAAACUCUAUUUUAUUUCUAGUUUUCUGUUAUUUAAUAUUACAAAUGGGAUUUGAGAUGAUUAUUAUAAUUCUCUUUUUUGUUAAUUUAGAAAAUUGUAUUAAUUGAUCUAAAAAUUUUAAGCCACCCCUGAAGUCCUGAAAUAAAUUCAUUUUUAAAAUUUAUACAUUGUAUUUUAUUAAUUGAUAAUUUUUCUUGAUAAUAUUUUGUUUAUCAUUGUACUUAGUGAUGAAAUAAUUAUUUUUUAGGAUGUUGGUAUCAAGGUUAUGCUGGACUCAUAAAAAGAAUGUGGCAUAUUCUCAGUUUAUAAAAGUGGCUAUUUAGGACUGGUAUAAUUUAUUAUUUGUUUAAAGGUUUGAGUACAGAGUUUCUUCUGGAUAUGGAGUUUUAUCCAGAUAAUUAUUUUAAUUAGAUUCAAUUCUAAUAGGUUUUUAAAUUCAAUUCUAAUUAGAUUUUUUAUUUCUUCUAUCAGUUUUGAAAAUCUGUUUUUCUAAGAAUUUUAUUUAUUUUUUUCUAUUUAUUGGCAUAAAUUUGUUUAUAAUAUUCUGAUUUUUUUGAUUAUGUAUUCCCACAAUCACCCUGUGAAAUAAACUACCUUAAGAUUUACUGGCUUAAAA
rnacentral:misc_RNA from 1 species